UACGUAGGGUGCAAGCGUUAAUCGGAAUUACUGGGCGUAAAGCGUGCGCAGGCGGUGAUGUAAGACAGUUGUGAAAGCCCCGGGCUUAACCUGGGAAUGGCCGUUGAAACUGGCGAACUGGAGUGUGGCAGAGGGGGGUGGAAUUCCGCGUGUAGCAGUGAAAUGCGUAGAGAUGCGGAGGAACACCGAUGGCGAAGGCAGCCCCCUGGGCUAACACUGACGCUCAGGCACGAAAGCGUGGGGAGCAAACAGG
rnacentral:rRNA from 1 species